rnacentral:rRNA from 1 species
GAUUCUGGCUCAGGAUGAACGCUAGCGACAGGCUUAACACAUGCAAGUCGAGGGGCAGCAUAAAAGUAGCAAUACGUUGGUGGCGACCGGCGCACGGGUGAGUAACGCGUAUGCAACCUACCUAUCGAGAGGGGAAUAACCCGGCGAAAGUCGGACUAAUACCGCAUAAAACAGGGGCACCGCAUGGUGAUAUUUGUUAAAGAAAUUCGCUGAUAGAUGGGCAUGCGUUCCAUUAGGUAGUUGGUGAGGUAACGGCUCACCAAGCCGACGAUGGAUAGGGGAACUGAGAGGUUGGUCCCCCACACUGGUACUGAGACACGGACCAGACUCCUACGGGAGGCAGCAGUGAGGAAUAUUGGUCAAUGGGCGAGAGCCUGAACCAGCCAAGUCGCGUGAAGGAAGAAGGAUCUAUGGUUCGUAAACUUCUUUUGCAGGGGAAUAAAGUGCAGGACGUGUCCUGUUUUGUAUGUACCCUGAGAAUAAGGAUCGGCUAACUCCGUGCCAGCCGCGGC